CCAAGGGGAUGGACUCCUUCACAUCCAUAUUCUGCUCCUCUCUAAAAACCCAACGAGGAUGGCCUUGUAGCAUAUCAGAGACACAGCUGGAGAUGGCUCUUGGUGAGUGAGGGGUGGAGCUGACAGAGUACAAGUGCCCAGCCCAAUUUGACAAACCACUUUGCUCAGAAGCUAAGAGGAAAGUCCCAGCACUCUGCUGACCUUUCUUUUAGAACGGCAGCACCAGCAAAUUUUGCAGAAUUUGAGAAUAUUGAUAAAUUUUAAUACUAAGCUGCUUUUUUUUUUUUUUUUCCCUAAAUAUUCUGAAGAAGUUGCAGUUUGUACAAAGUUGGGACCAAUUAAUAUUUAGUUUGGCCUAAGUAAACUAUGUUCUGACUUCUGAGUAAGUCCUAUCUGCAGGGCUCAUUGUGUGCUUCUGGACAAACACAGUCGUACCCGCUGUGACUCACACUCCCAUGGUCUCUUUCCAGCACCUACGCAUGACUCAGAGACAUCACUCUGAUCACUAUCACUGAGGUCAGCUUCAGAAGAGAACAAAGUCUAUUAUUUGAGGGUUUGUUUUGUCCUCUGUGGAUCCUUAACGUAGCAGGCAGAUAUAUCAGCCCCAACCCUUGUCUCACUCACAGACCUCCAGCUUGCGGUGGGCCUGAAGUGUUGUGCUGUGCAGCACAGCCAGUUCAUCUUAAGCUCUUUGCAGUUGCUUCCUUUAUGCAUUUAUACCUUUUCCUUUCAGAAAAGUUUGCCCCUCUGCCUUUUAGGGGAAGAAAGUUAAUCCAUUCUUAUUCUACAAGAGAUACCAAAGUAGAGGGGGACAAACUUUUCUACCAGAGACUUCUGUCUGCUCUCUCUCUGUUGAGAGCAGCAGGUUCAGGAGGGCUCUGAGGGUGGGCACACCUGGCAGUUCAGAAGCCAGUAGGUCUGCCUAGCUGUACAGAAGCAAGGGGAGCUUCAAGUCUCAUGACAUGGUGCUGGCUGCUAGAAACAGUGUACUUUUCUGGAGACCCUGUAGUUUCAGAGCGGAAGCUGAGGUUUCCCUUUCUGUGCUGGUGUGGAGCUGGGCUCUGUCAGAUGAGUCAUAUUACUGGGUGAAUGACCAGCACGCGGAAAGGAGAAGUUCUGUUUGAUAGAGAUGCAACACAUCGGA
rnacentral:lncRNA from 1 species